GACGAACGCUGGCGGCGUGCUUAACACAUGCAAGUCGAACGGAAAGGCCCUGCUUUUGUGGGGUGCUCGAGUGGCGAACGGGUGAGUAACACGUGAGUAACCUGCCCUUGACUUUGGGAUAACUUCAGGAAACUGGGGCUAAUACCGGAUAGGAGCUCCUGCUGCAUGGUGGGGGUUGGAAAGCUUCGGCGGUUGGGGAUGGACUCGCGGCUUAUCAGCUUGUCGGUGGGGUAGUGGCUUACCAAGGCUUUGACGGGUAGCCGGCCUGAGAGGGUGACCGGCCACAUUGGGACUGAGAUACGGCCCAGACUCCUACGGGAGGCAGCAGUGGGGAAUAUUGCACAAUGGGCGGAAGCCUGAUGCAGCAACGCCGCGUGCGGGAUGACGGCCUUCGGGUUGUAAACCGCUUUCGCCUGUGACGAAGCGUGAGUGACGGUAAUGGAUAAAGAAGCACCGGCUAACUACGUG
rnacentral:rRNA from 1 species